rnacentral:rRNA from 1 species
GAUGAACGCUAGCGGCAGGCCUAACACAUGCAAGUCGAGGGAGAAGCCCUUUCGGGGGCAGAAACCGGCGCACGGGUGCGUAACGCGUAUGCAACCUACCUUUCACAGGGGGAUAGCCCGAAGAAAUUUGGAUUAAUACCCCAUAAUAUUAUUGGAUGGCAUCAUUUGAUAAUUAAAACUGCGGUGGUGAAAGAUGGGCAUGCGUCCUAUUAGCUAGUUGGAGUGGUAACGGCACCCCAAGGCUACGAUAGGUAGGGGUCCUGAGAGGGAGAUCCCCCACACUGGGACUGAGACAGGGACCAGACUCCUACGGGAGGCAGCAGUGAGGAAUAUUGGUCAAUGGUCGGAAGACUGAACCAGCCAUGCCGCGUGCAGGAAGAAUGCCUUAUGGGUUGUAAACUGCUUUUAUAUGGGAAGAAUAAGGUGUACGUGUACAUUGAUGACGGUACCAGAUGAAUAAGCAUCGGCUAACUCCGUG